rnacentral:rRNA from 1 species
UACAGAGGUCUCAAGCGUUGUUCGGAUUCCUUGGGCGUAAAGGGUGUGUAGGUGGCGCGCUAAGUCGGGUGUGAAAUUUCGGAGCUUAACUCCGAAACUGCAUUCGAUACUGGCGUGCUUGAGGACUGGAGAGGAGACUGGAAUUUACGGUGUAGCGGUGAAAUGCGUAGAUAUCGUAAGGAAGACCAGUGGCGAAGGCGGGCCUCUGGACAGUUCCUGACGCUGAGGCACGAAGGUCAGGGGAGCAAACGGG